UACGUAGGGUGCAAGCGUUGUCCGGAAUUAUUGGGCGUAAAGAGCUCGUAGGCGGUUUGUCGCGUCUGCUGUGAAAACCCGAGGCUCAACCUCGGGGCCUGCAGUGGGUACGGGGCAGACUAGAGUGCGGUAGGGGGAGAUUGGAAUUCCUGGUGUAGCGGUGGAAUGCGCAGAUAUCAGGAGGAACACCGGUGGCGAAGGCGGUUCUCUGGGCCUGUACUGACGCUGAGGAGCGAAAGCGUGGGGGAGCGAACAGG
rnacentral:rRNA from 1 species